rnacentral:misc_RNA from 1 species
UCCGGUUUGACACCGGCAGUCUGUCUAGAGUGCCCACCAUGAUGUGCUGGCAACUAAACACGAGGGUUGCGCUCGUUGCGGGACUUAACCCAACAUCUCACGACACGAGCUGACGACAGCCAUGCAGCACCUGUGCAAAUUGUCUCUACAGCGUGCAGUUGCAUGUCAAGCCCUGGUAAGGUUCUUCGCGUUGCAUCGAAUUAAGCCAUAUGCUCCACCGCUUGUGCGGGCCCCCGCCAAUUCCUUUGAGUUUUAAUCUUGCGAUCGUAGUUCCCAGGCGGUUCACUUAAUGCGUUAGCUGCGGCACCGAAGCAAAGCCCCGACACCUAGUGAACAUCGUUUAUGGCCAAGACUAC